AUGGAGAUUCAAAUGGCUGUUCAAAAACAACGACGUACCUAAUUAAACAACCGACGUCUAUUUGAAACAGAUUUCCGCAGUGUAAAAUCAAAGCCAACAAAGAACGGCAGAAGUUAUGAAUCGACCGACGUAGAAAGUAAAGACGACGAUUUCAAUAAAAGCCGCCGUUUUUACUCAUAAAAUAACACGACGAGGUUUUCGUAUAAGACGCCGUAUAAUUACAAACAAAUCCACGGCUUUAAAAUACAAAAUAUCGCCGUAUUAAAUUAAUGUACAACGACGGAAAAUAUAAAUUUAUCGACGUCAUUCUCGUAUAGUUCUACGACGUUAUCUUUAAAUCUUUAACGUCGUAUUUAUUCAUUUUAUACGUCGUAACUUUAAUUUAAACCGUCGUCAUUUUAUACGGUUUAUAUAGAAAACCGCCGACAUAAUCAGAUUUUUCUGAGAUCCCAAGGGUUACGAAAUCUUACCAGAUGGAACUCUGUUCCACAUCAUAAUCUUAACAGAUGACACAGAUUUGCAAUCAGAGAGACAAUUUUUUCGAAGUUGAUAAAAUCCACGUCGGUUGUAUUAAACUUAACGACGUUUAACAAAAUAAUCUACGUCGGUAAUUAUAAAUCUACCUUAAUAUAAACGACGAGAAAAGCAUUGACAAUGUCUUCAUCAUAUCUCCCAGCAACUACUGAUUCGAUUGCUCAUGCUUUAGAGGCCAUCUGAAGCCAUUUCUAUUCUUUAUCGCAUUCUUGAAAGCCAUUUCUAUUCGCAUUCUUGAAAGCCAUUUCUCAUGAUUGAUAAAGGAAGAGGCUAUCACAAAUCUGACGGAUCUUCUUAGUAAAGAAAAUCAAGCAGAGGAUCAGGCACAUCUGAUCUUCAGAUUUCCCUGAGAAGCGAACUUUCCUUCGACAGCGAGUGGAGGCCAGGCUUGCAUCUCUUUUGAUGGAAAGCAAGGAGUAUUCAGAAGCACUAAGUGUCCUAUCAGGCUUGAUCAAGGAAGUGAGAAGGCUAGUUGACAAGCUUCUUCUUGUGGACAUAGAUUUGAUGCGAGUAAGCUCAAUUUCUCUUUGA
rnacentral:lncRNA from 1 species